rnacentral:tRNA from 1 species
UGCGGGAUGGAGCAGUCUGGUAGCUCGUCGGGCUCAUAACCCGAAGGUCGUUGGUUCAAAUCCAGCCCCCGCAACCA